rnacentral:rRNA from 2 species
UGGGGAAUAUUGGACAAUGGGCGCAAGCCUGAUCCAGCCAUGCCGCGUGAGUGAUGAAGGCCCUAGGGUUGUAAAGCUCUUUCACCGGUGAAGAUAAUGACGGUAACCGGAGAAGAAGCCCCGGCUAACUUCGUGCCAGCAGCCGCGGUAAUACGAAGGGGGCUAGCGUUGUUCGGAUUUACUGGGCGUAAAGCGCACGUAGGCGGACUUUUAAGUCAGGGGUGAAAUCCCGGGGCUCAACCCCGGAACUGCCUUUGAUACUGGAAGUCUUGAGUAUGGUAGAGGUGAGUGGAAUUCCGAGUGUAGAGGUGAAAUUCGUAGAUAUUCGGAAGAACACCAGUGGCGAAGGCGGCUCACUGGACCAUUACUGACGCUGAGGUGCGAAAGCGUGGGGAGCAAACAGG